GACGAACCGUGCGAACGUUGUUCGGAAUCACUGGGCUUAAAGGGCGCGUAGGCGGGUUCUCAAGUCUGGAGUGAAAGCCCGCGGCUCAACCGCGGAAGCGCUUCGGAUACUGGGGGCCUCGAGGGGGGUAGGGGCGUGCGGAACUUCCGGUGGAGCGGUGAAAUGCGUAGAUAUCGGAAGGAACACCGGUGGCGAAAGCGGCGCGCUGGACCCCUUCUGACGCUGAGGCGCGAAAGCCAGGGGAGCGAACGGG
rnacentral:rRNA from 1 species